CGGAAGCAUUGGGUGACGGCAAUAUGACGUAUUCGCUGGAGAUGUUGUCACGUGAUCUGGGAGCCUUUCUUCUUUCUGGAUAAAAUUCCUGCCUAGGUAUCCCGGGCGCCUUCUCAAAACCAGGGCAACCACGUUUUGUUUGUGAGCCACAGAAAAGGAAAGGAAUGUUAUUAUAAGGUUGUAUAAAAUUUAUAUUAAUAACAGAGCUACGAGUGAGACUCAGAAUGUUGAACCAGAAGAAAUUCAAGGUGACCUGAAAGGAUAAGAAAAGUGAAAAGCUCAACGAAGGAAAAAGAAUUUCCCUAAGCUGUAAUGGACCAUGAGCCCCCUGCAGUCCCACACUCACUAUCGGUUGAAGGACAGAAAUCACCCUUAUUGGGGCCGAAGCUAUAAAGGCGGCAGCAGGAGGAUGGGGUUAGCCAGUCGAUGAAGUCGUCUACCCAGGAGGACGCAGCAAUUGCCAGGUUGGGGUAGUUUCCCCUUCGAAAAGCAGCAUAAGAAGUCGGGGCGAGAGGCCUAGAGAAUGACAACCUCUCAAGACCAGGUCCAAGGCAGACCCCAGGAACCACCCCACCCAGGGAAGCCCCAGAGAUGGCCACUGCUAUUUUUGUUGCUUUUAUUUCCUGCCUUAAUCAAAUACUGAAUUUUACAUCAUUAAAAAACCACCAGCUUGA